CCUACGGGAGGCUGCAGUAGGGAAUAUUGCUCAAUGGGGGAAACCCUGAAGCAGCAACGCCGCGUGGAGGAUGAAGGUUUUCGGAUUGUAAACUCCUUUUGUUAGAGAAGAUAAUGACGGUAUCUAACGAAUAAGCACCGGCUAACUCCGUGCCAGCAGCCGCGGUAAUACGGAGGGUGCAAGCGUUACACGGAAUCACUGGGCGUAAAGAGCGCGUAGGCGGGAUAGCAAGUCAGAUGUGAAAUCCUAUGGCUUAACCAUAGAACUGCAUUUGAAACUGUUAUUCUAGAGUAUGGGAGAGGGAGGCGGAAUUCGUGGUGUAGCAGUGAAAUGCGUAGAGAGCAAGAGGAACAGUCAUUGCGAAGG
rnacentral:rRNA from 1 species